AAACAUGGUGAAACCCCUCUCUACUAAAAAUACAAAAAAAUUAGCCGGGCUUGGUGGCGGGCCCCUGUAGUCCCAGCUACUCGGGAGGCUGAGGCAGGAGAAUGGCGUGAACCCAGGAGGCGGAGCUUGCAGUGAGCUGAGAUCGCGCCACUGCACUCCAGGCUGGGCAACAGAGUGAGACUCCAUCUUAAAAAAAAAAAAAAAAAAAAGACUAGGACUUAUGGAGACUGGGGGAAGGGCAUCCAGAUUGUGGGGUGAGGGGAGCAAGCACUCAGAGACCAGAAGACUCUGCCUAAAUGAGAAGUACAGGGCUACUUUAGGAAGGAAGGAUCUGCAUGGGGAGGAGGCAUCGCUGAAGGGGCAGUGCUCAGGCAGGGAGCAUGGAGACACAGCUCCUGCAGACUCCCAGAGAGCGAGAAGGCCUGACAGUGCGCGCCCUUCUGCAAGCAGGAUCCUCAGGCUUGGAAGGAGCAAGGGGUCGGGGGGCCAGGGAAUAACCCUCCCGGUAGUGUUUGCAUUUUAAAGGGCACUUAAUUAGCACAAAUUAAUGAGCAGAGCAUCCAGGGCAGACUCUCCAUUUCCCGUUGCCCCUGACCCCGCUUCUGCAGGGCACCCCUUUGCCUGCCCUGCACCUUCUCCACCUCCUCCUCCUGCCCAUCCACAGCUGCCCCCUCGCCGCCCGCUGCCUUAUCGUCCAGCAACCCCCGGGGUGUCUCUGCCCACCAGUGGUGUUGGGGAGGGUGCCCCCCAGACUGUGAGGCAGACAGAAAGGAAGAGGAUGCCGUAAAAACCCUGGGGGUGCUUGGGCCCUCCAUGGCCACUUCCUGUCCCCACAGCCCCUCAACUCCAGGGGACUGGUUAUCUUUUCCGGGCAGAGUGAAGACAUGGUCCAUAGCAGCUGGCCCGGGCACCGGAAGGCACUGGGGGUUAAGGGGAAGCUGAGGGCCUAGGUGUGGGGAGGUGGCUGUUCUAACCCCUCCCCAGCUACGGGCGAAUCUUGCCCCCACAGAAUCAGACGCGUGGAGUGCAGGGGUGGUGAGAGGACUCUCUCAAGGCCAGGAAGUUCCAGGCUUUGCUACCCUGGGGCUGUACACUAUGGUCCUGGCUGGGGUCUCCAAGCUGGGGUAGAGGCUCCAGUGUUUGGUUAAAGGCCCAGCAAGAGGCCCUUUGUGUCCUGGGGUGUGGGAGGCAAUGGACAGCAGAAAAUAUGUUCCCAUCCUUGGUUCCCCCGAACGACCCCAUAUCUUGCUUCUCUUCCGGGCCCCUCACUUUAUCCGCUCCAAAGCCCCCUUGCACAGCCCAGCAGGGGGUCCUGGGCCUCGUCUGCCAAGCCUGCUGCAUGCCUGGGAGAGGGGUCAGCUCUUGGGACUCUGGAAUCUUGAGAAGGCUGAUCCCUGGUGGCCAAUGCAGACCACUGUACCUUCUCUACUCCCCUGAGGCCAGGGAGAAGCCUGUGGGGCUCGGGCCUCAGCCUCGGGACCAAAGUGAGACUUGGGGAAGGAGCUCAUUCCGGAGCAGACUGUGAGAGAGCCCUGGGCAGCUCAAAUGUAGAGACAGCUCCCGGGCCUCUUCCGCUCUGAGCUGUUCCGGGAGGAAAGGCCAACCUUACAGUGCCAGGGCUGGAGGCUGGACCCUCCCCAGAAACUUCCAGACAAGGAUGGGUGUGGAGUGUGGAGGGAGAGGACCCUUUCCAGGAUGAGAAGGGGACAUCUAGCCUGGGGAUCCCUUCACUGGCAUCUCCUGACCGGCUCCCCAUGUGGCAAGGAGCAUCCACCCUUGCAGAUAAGCUGUGGCCCAUGGGCCUGGGCCUGAGCAUACGGCAGAGCCAGCCCUGGGGGGGAAACUGCAGGCCCUUGGGCUCUCCGGUGAGGUCCCUCUGUGGACUGUCCCUCUGGAGUCCUCAGGAGCUGGGGAGGGUCAGUGGAGAGGGGCUGCAGGGUUGGGGAGGGCAGGCCAGGCUGCAGCUGGCCUGGCUGAUCACCCUCUCCUCACUUCCAGGGUCUCAGAGGGCCAAGGCAGCAACAGGUAAGCACCCAGGGCCCUGGGGUGGGAGGGACAGGAGCCGGCUGGACUGAGCCAGGGACACUCAUGGCCAGAGGGAAUUUGGAACGCACAGGACACUGGGGAAUUCCAGAGGAGGGGAAAGUGGGGGCUGUGUGGAACUGGAGCCCAGAAAGGAGAGGAGGAGGAAGGUCCACACAAGAGCAGGACGGGCAGCACAGAGCCUUGAGGCGCGGUGCAGGAUGAGGGCGGCAGGGUCUGAGGAUCACCCUGAACCGUGACUGGCCCCCUCUGGGUGGCUCCCUUGCAGAGGGCUUGACACCUGUUCUAUCCUUCCAGGCACCUGUUUGGGUCAGGCCCUGGGACAAGACCCUUCCCUGGGUUAUCUCAGUGCCUCCGUGGCCCCCAAGAGGCAGGUGUUAGGUUGCCUUUCUCGGCGAGGAGAGUGAGACUUUGGGGGGCAGCUGGGGAGGGUCUGCCUGUAUCCCAGACUGCCCCGAAGCCCAGGCCUCCGACUUCCCCAAGGUCUUCGGGCAGGUCAGGGGCAGGAGGGCCGAGGACUGGAGUGUGAGGCUGAGAGCUGGGCCUCGGCCAUGGAACCAGCCCCAGUGAGCGCCCCCACCCGCUCCCCAUGCUCCCCCAGCCUGUGGUCGCCCCAGGAUGCUGAACCGAAUGGUGGGCGGGCAGGACACGCAGGAGGGCGAGUGGCCCUGGCAAGUCAGCAUCCAGCGCAACGGAAGCCACUUCUGCGGGGGCAGCCUCAUCGCGGAGCAGUGGGUCCUGACGGCUGCGCACUGCUUCCGCAAGUGAGUCCGCCCGCCCCUGCCCCCGCCCAUAGCGCUGACAGCGCCCCGCGCGCGACCGGUUCAGCACCGUGGACAGCGCCCGCCGCGCCAAAUCCUGCGGGUGACCUCCCUGGGGGCUCCUGGUCCAGCCCCUCCCACCCAGAUGCUUCCCUUAGGUCCAACUCCAGGGCUAACUUCCAGUUGCAACCGCUGCUCCCGCCCGCGGGAGGUGCCUCGCACCGCCCCCCGACCCCCUCCAUCCCCUCCACCCACUCACCCACUCCCUGUGGGUCCCUGCAGAAGCGGCCCGGCAGGCUCUGCCCACCGGCCCCUCCUGGCCUUUCCCCAUCCCGCACACACCUCAGCUCCAGGACACUCUUCCCGGGAGGAACUCUGCUCACAAAGCCCAAGGACCAGACAGAACGGCCCUUCCUCCCCUCACCCACCUGAACCACCCCAGAAAGCCCUGAGCAGAGGCCAGGCCACCCAGCCCUCUGCCAUGUAUGAACCACCUGGUCCCACACCUUCCGGGUGUCCCAGGCCCCCUCACCUCACACCUCAACACCGCAGCUCUAAUUAUUUUAAACCCCACAUCUUUUUCUUUUUUUUCUUCUUGAUCUUUAAAAGAAUAUCAUGACAAAAAAAACCCCACAUCUUAAAUUCAGAUACUCACGGCCAGGCACGGUGGCUCACACCCGUAAUCCCAGCACUUUGGGAGGCCAAGGCGGGCAGAUCAGUUGAGCCCAGGAGUUCAAGACCAGCCCGGGCAACACAGCAAGACCCUGUCUCUACU
rnacentral:lncRNA from 1 species